rnacentral:lncRNA from 1 species
UUUUUUUUUUUUUAUGAUUAAUUUUAUGAAAAAUUCUCUAGGAUAGUAUUUUUUAAGUUUUUGUCAUAAAAAUGACCAAAAUAAAUUUUAUUAAAUAGUAAAAAUACAUUUAUACUCUAUGAUUAAUUAAUCUAGACUUAGAUUUAUAAGAGUUAAGUGAUGUAGUUUUGAAGAUAUAAUUUCAAAAUCUAAAAAAUAAAUAUUAAAAUUUUCAAGAAAACUAUUUUGAUCAUUUUUUAUUGAAAGAUAUUUUUGUGCCAAAAACUUAAAAAACUAUUUGAAAACAUUGUCCGUUUAUCGGGAA